CUUCAUCUUUUAAGUGAAUUCGUGUUGACUUUAAAUUAGAAAUUCUUAAGGAAAACCCUGAAAAAAAAUUCUAGAGUCGCCACUGUCAUCAGUUGCAACAAAGAUGCCACUAAUCUUGCUCACAUAUUAUUGCCACCCUCUGAAGCUUGUUCUCCUGAAAGAUUGGAGGACACAAGAGUGUACCAGCAAAGGAUAAGCAACAAGAAACUAAACAAAUUGAUGGUGGAUUUUGAAAGUUAACCUCAGGAAGAUUGAUUUGCAGCUUCAACAAGCAGAGACCAUCUCUUUCUUUCUUUCUUUUUUUGGGUAUGCUGAAGUUUCUUUUAAUUUUGGUAUAAUUUCGUUACUAAAAGGUGAAAAAUUAGCUUUUUUAUUUUUUAUUUUUUUAGGGUGAAAGGUUAGUUCUAGGUAUGGGAUUGCUUAAUUCCUCAAUGAAAUCUUGCAGUCAAAAAAUGAAUGUUACCGUCAAUGGUCUGGAAGGAAUUGAUCUUGCAUCCAAAUAUGUGACUUUCACAAGAAGGAUAUACUGAGCAUAUUGAAACAACAUCUUUCCCGUUA